GAUGAACGCUGGCGGCGUGCUUAACACAUGCAAGUCGAGCGAGAAGUUUUGAAAAGAUUCUUCGGAUGAAAUUUAAAAUGGAAAGCGGCGGACGGGUGAGUAACGCGUAGGCAACCUGCCCCAUACAAAGGGAUAGCAUUUGGAAACGAAUAUUAAUACCUUAUGAAACUUAACUAGUGCAUGCUAGGUAGGUCAAAGAUUUAUCGGUAUGGGAUGGGCCUGCGUCUGAUUAGCUAGUUGGUGAGGUAACGGCUCACCAAGGCGACAAUCAGUAGCCGACCUGAGAGGGUGAACGGCCACAUUGGAACUGAGACACGGUCCAAACUCCUACGGGAGGCAGCAGUGGGGAAUAUUGCACAAUGGGGGAAACCCUGAUGCAGCAACGCCGCGUGAACGAUGAAGGCCUUUGGGUCGUAAAGUUCUGUUCUGGGGGAUGAAAACUGACAGUAACCUAGGAGAAAGCCCCGGCUAACUCCGUG
rnacentral:rRNA from 1 species